CCUACGGGGGGCAGCAGUGGGGAAUCUUGCGCAAUGGGGGCAACCCUGACGCAGCCAUGCCGCGUGAAUGAUGAAGGCCUUAGGGUUGUAAAGUUCUUUUGCCGUGGAUGCGGUAACGGGAGAAUAAGCUCCGGCUAACUUCGUGCCAGCAGCCGCGGUAAUACGAAGGGGGCUAGCGUUGUUCGGAAUUACUGGGCGUAAAGCGCGCGCAGGCGGUUCGAUAAGUUGGGGGUGAAAUCCCUGGGCUCAACCCAGGAAUGGCCUUCAAGACUGUUGAGCUUGAGGACGAGAGAGGUGAGUGGAAUUCCCAGUGUAGAGGUGAAAUUCGUAGAUAUUGGGAAGAACACCGGUGGCGAAGGCGGCUCACUGGCUCGUCUGACGCUGAGGCGCGAAAGCGUGGGGAGCAAACAGGAUUAGAUACCCUUGUAGUC
rnacentral:rRNA from 1 species